rnacentral:ncRNA from 2 species
GGGAUUAUGAUGUAUAUAGGUGCCUUUGUUUCUAAAGGUUAAAAGGGAAGAUCGGUGAAAGCCCGACACAGCCCCCGCUACUGUAAGUAUUGACGAAACCGUAAAAUAUCCACUGGGAAACUGGGAAGGGAAGGGAGUAGGUUAAAAUACGAGUCAGGAAACCUGCCUGUAUAUUUUUGAAAUA